AGGGUCUCGCCUAAGAAUCCCUGCUGUGUCAGUGGCCGUAGAAGAUUGUGUUUUGGGCCUGUUGAGAUCCUCCCUCUGUGUGUGGCUGUGUUACAGGGACCUCGGUGUUUUUCUAAGUAUUGAACAGCCUAUUUUCAACAUUCAGGGGUCACUUCCCAUGACUGAUCUUACCUGAAAAGGAAGCCCGGAGGAAGAGGAAAGCAAGGAGUCAGAAAUGGCUCGUUUCGAGGUCUUGUGGUCUCUAAGCCGGACCUUGUGACUUGUGCAAAUGAAGGAGCCCAGGCGUAUAAGGAGAAUGAAGACAGUGGCCGUAUACCCAGGUCCCCCUUCAAUGACACCCUCACAGAGCUCACCAGAAUCCUGCUCGUCUUGGUCUGAAGGGACCGAUUCACCCUCAGUCUGCGGAGCCCAGAGCACUUCACCCAGGGUUACUUAUAAGCCUGAGUGCCACUUCCUGGCACUGUCUGGGCCUGGUUCUAGCCUUGACCUCCCACAGGGUCCCUCAAAGCUUGCUGUGAAUUCUCUCAUAAACUCAUCAGCUUCAAUUUUC